GGUGAGGAGUGCGGCUGUACAGUU
rnacentral:siRNA from 1 species